rnacentral:rRNA from 1 species
CCUACGGGCGGCAGCAGUGGGGAAUAUUGGACAAUGGGCGAAAGCCUGAUCCAGCCAUGCCGCGUGUGUGAAGAAGGCCUUCGGGUUGUAAAGCACUUUCAGUGGGGAAGAAAGCCUUGGGGCUAAUACCCUCGAGGAGGGACAUCACCCACAGAAGAAGCACCGGCUAACUCCGUGCCAGCAGCCGCGGUAAUACGGAGGGUGCGAGCGUUAAUCGGAAUUACUGGGCGUAAAGCGCGCGUAGGCGGUCUGAUAAGCCGGUUGUGAAAGCCCCGGGCUCAACCUGGGAACGGCAUCCGGAACUGUCAGGCUAGAGUGCAGGAGAGGAAGGUAGAAUUCCCGGUGUAGCGGUGAAAUGCGUAGAGAUCGGGAGGAAUACCAGUGGCGAAGGCGGCCUUCUGGACUGACACUGACGCUGAGGUGCGAAAGCGUGGGUAGCAAACAGGAUUAGAUACCCCAGUAGUC